GGAAUCGUGAGCGGGCGGGAGGAGGCCGGGGACCACACAGGUGAGCCCCCGCCCGCGCCCUGCCCGGGACGGCGGCGGGCGCUGCCAGCCCCGCUCCCCCGCACCCGGGGUCCGCACGGUGCCUCGCCUCAACCCCUCACUUUUCACCGCGAACCCGUGACCCCCUCCUCCUUGCUUGCUCUCCGCCCCCACCCCGGCUAAGUGUAGCCGCCACACUUUCCCAAGCCCGCAGGCGCCCCCCCCAACACCAGCGCUGCACCCCCGACCCAUUCCCCGCGGCCCCCUCCAGGAGAAAAAAUGAAACCAGACUGGCCGAGGAGGGGGGCGGCAGGGACCAGGGUGCGGAGCAGAGGUGAGGGAGACGGGACUUACUUUGCGAGGCGCGGUGCAGGGCGCCGCCGACGAGAAAUAAAGGCCCCGAUACGGGCUGCCUGGAGCCCCCCGAGCGCAGCAAUGUCAGGGCUCCAGUCCGGGCGGCGUUGGCGGCCGCAGGGGACGGGGACGGGCGCGCGUGCGGCGGGCGCUCUCGCUGCGCUCCGGCUCGGGCCCCGGCUCCGCGCGGCUCCGCUCCUGGCUCCCCUCUGGCUCCUGGCACCAACUCCGGGCAGUCACAUGACGCCGGCGCCGCUCGCUCUGCGAGCCUCCCGGGGCUGGCGGGAGAAUAACUUGUCUGACUACCAGUAUUCUUGGAUGCAGAAGUGCUGAAGAUGAGCACACACACGUACGGAGAAUUUCUGGAGAAUUCAGCUGCUCAGAACAAGUUUCGCUCUUGUUGCCCAGUCUGGAGUGCAAUGGCACGAUCUUGGCUUACUGCAACCACCUCCCAGGUUCAAAUGAUUCUCCUGCCUCAGCCUCCCGAGCAGCUGGGAUUACAGGAGCCCAUCACCAUGCUCAGCUAAUUUUUGUAUUUUUAGUAGAGAUGGGGUUUCACUAUGUUGGCCACGCUGGUCUCGAACUCCUGACCUUGUGAUCCGCCCGCCUCGGCCUCCCAAAGUGCUGGGAUUACAGGCAUGAGCCACCGCACCCGGCCUCCCCAACCUGGUUUUUUAACAUACAACGAAUGGGUGUGAGUUCCCUCUUCUUUCUUCUUUCACCCAACUUAUCCAGCUCUCUUUUUCUUCACAGCACUUUUCGUCUCCUAAGUAUACUAUAUAAUUGACUUAACUGUGAUGUUGACUAUCUGUUUCUUCCAGAAUGUAAGGAGAAGAUUGGUCUGGCUUUUUUUUUUUUCUACUGUGAUGUCUCCCGGUUCCUAGAAAGGUGUCUAGUACGUACAUAGUAGGUUCCUGAUAAAUGCCGGGAAUGCCUUGAAAGGGUUAGCAAAUUUCCAUAUCCAGGACAUAGUUACUAUCCUCUCAGGUUGGAAGGAAAGUGUAAAGAAAAAUAAAGGCCUAC
rnacentral:lncRNA from 1 species